UGAACGCUAGCUACAGGCUUAACACAUGCAAGUCGAGGGGAAACGAUAUUGGAAGCUUGCUUCUGAUAGGCGUCGACCGGCGCACGGGUGAGUAACGCGUAUCCAACCUGCCCAUCACUUGGGGAUAACCUUGCGAAAGUAAGACUAAUACCCAAUGACGUCUCUAGAAGACAUCUGAAGGAGAUUAAAGAUUUAUCGGUGAUGGAUGGGGAUGCGUCUGAUUAGCUUGUUGGCGGGGUAACGGCCCACCAAGGCGACGAUCAGUAGGGGUUCUGAGAGGAAGGCCCCCCACAUUGGAACUGAGACACGGUCCAAACUCCUACGGGAGGCAGCAGUGAGGAAUAUUGGUCAAUGGACGAGAGUCUGAACCAGCCAAGUAGCGUGCAGGAUGACGGCCCUAUGGGUUGUAAACUGCUUUUAUAAGGGAAUAAAGUGAGUCUCGUGAGACUUUUGCAUGUACCUUAUGAAUAAGGACCGGCUAAUUCCGUG
rnacentral:rRNA from 1 species